rnacentral:rRNA from 1 species
AUGGCCGUCGUCAGUUUCGUACUGUAAAGCGUUCUNUUAAGUCAGAUAACGAACGAGACCNUCAUCUCUAUUUGCUACCCUUCUCUCCGGAGGAGGCGCACCAUAGAGAGACCGCUGGUGCUAAACCAGAGGAAGGCGAGGGCAACGACAGGUCAGUAUGCCCCGAAUGUCAUGGGCUACACGCGCGCUACAAAGGACGGGACAAUGGGAAGCCAGAUCGAGAGAUCGAGCUAACCCGAAACCCGUUCAUAGUUCGGAUUGUGGGCUGUAACUCGCCCACAUGAAGCUGGAUUGCGUAGUAAUCGUGUUUCAACAUAGCACGGUGAAUAUGCCCCUGCUCCUUGCACACACCGCCCGUCAAACCA